rnacentral:rRNA from 1 species
UAACCGUGAGUGUUCGGAUCGAGGCGACGUGGGCGGUUCGCCGCCGACGACGUCGCGAGAAGUCCACUGAACCUUAUCAUUUAGAGGAAGGAGAAGUCGUAACAAGGUUUCCGUAGGUGAACCUGCGGAAGGAUCAUUG